rnacentral:rRNA from 1 species
CGCUGGCGGCGUGCCUAACACAUGCAAGUCGAGCGAGUGAAUCUCCUUCGGGAGUGACUUAGUGGCGGACGGGUGAGUAACGCGUGGGUAACCUGCCUUACACAGGGGGAUAACAGUUAGAAAUGACUGCUAAUACCGCAUAAAACAGCAGAGUCGCAUGACUCAACUGUCAAAGAUUUAUCGGUGUAAGAUGGACCCGCGUCUGAUUAGCUUGUUGGUGGGGUAACGGCCUACCAAGGCGACGAUCAGUAGCCGGCCUGAGAGGGUGAACGGCCACAUUGGGACUGAGACACGGCCCAAACUCCUACGGGAGGCAGCAGUGGGGAAUAUUGCACAAUGGGGGAAACCCUGAUGCAGCAACGCCGCGUGAGUGAAGAAGUAUUUCGGUAUGUAAAGCUCUAUCAGCAGGAAAGAAAAUGACGGUACCUGACUAAGAAGCCCCGGCUAACUACGUG